CCUACGGGAGGCAGCAGUAGGGAAUAUUGCUCAAUGGGGGAAACCCUGAAGCAGCAACGCCGCGUGGAGGAUGAAGGUUUUAGGAUUGUAAACUCCUUUUGUUAGAGAAGAUUAUGACGGUAUCUAACGAAUAAGCACCGGCCAACUCCGUGCCAGCAGCCGCGGUAAUACGGAGGGGGCAAGCGGUACUCGGAAUCACUGGGCGUAAAGAGUGCGUAGGCGGGGUAAUAAGUCAGAUGUGAAAUCCUUUAGCUUAACUAGAGAACUGCAUUUGAAACUGUUACUCUGGAGUGUAGGAGAGGUAGGUGGAAUUCUUGGUGUAGGGGUAAAAUCCGUAGAGAUCUGGAGGAAUACUCGUUGCGAAGGCGACCCGCUGGAACAUUACUGACGCUGAUGCACGAAAGCGUGGGGAGCAAACAGGAUUAGAUACCCCUGUAGUC
rnacentral:rRNA from 1 species